UACGGAGGGAGCUAGCGUUGUUCGGAAUUACUGGGCGUAAAGCGCGCGUAGGCGGCUUUGUAAGUUAGAGGUGAAAGCCCGGGGCUCAACCCCGGAACUGCCUUUAAGACUGCAUCGCUUGAAUCCGGGAGAGGUGAGUGGAAUUCCGAGUGUAGAGGUGAAAUUCGUAGAUAUUCGGAAGAACACCAGUGGCGAAGGCGGCUCACUGGACCGGUAUUGACGCUGAGGUGCGAAAGCGUGGGGAGCAAACAGGG
rnacentral:rRNA from 1 species